rnacentral:rRNA from 1 species
AUCGAACGCUGGCGGAAUGCUUUACACAUGCAAGUCGAACGGCAGCACGGACUUCGGUCUGGUGGCGAGUGGCGAGCGGGUGAGUAAUGUAUCGGAACGUGCUCAGUCGUGGGGGAUAACGUAGUGAAAAUUACGCUAAUACCGCAUACGAUCUAUGGAUGAAAGCGGGGGAUCGCAAGACCUCGCGCGAUUGGAGCGGCCGAUAUCAGAUUAGGUAGUUGGUGGGGUAAAGGCCCACCAAGCCAACGAUCUGUAGCUGGUCUGAGAGGACGACCAGCCACACUGGAACUGAGACACGGUCCAGACUCCUACGGGAGGCAGCAGUGGGGAAUUUUGGACAAUGGGCGAAAGCCUGAUCCAGCCAUUCCGCGUGCAGGAUGAAGGCCCUCGGGUUGUAAACUGCUUUUGUACAGAACGAAAAGGUUUCUACUAAUACUAGGAGCUCAUGACGGUACUGUAAGAAUAAGCACCGGCUAACUACGUGCCAGCCGCCGCAGUAA